rnacentral:lncRNA from 1 species
AAGAGACAGCGCCGCCGGCCGUGGGGAGCGGACGCAGUGAUUUGCUCCCCCUCGUGCAGCAACCCCCACACCCAGCACCAGGAGCCUGUUCCUCUCACGCCCUCACCUGGCUGAGCCGCAGUAGUUCUUCAGUGGCAAGCUUUAUGUCCUGACCCAGCUAAAGCUGCCAGUUGAAGAACUGUUGCCCUCUGCCCCUGGCUUCGAGGAGGAGGAGGAGCUGCUUUCCCCAUCAUCUGGAAGGUGACAGAAAUGGGCUGGGAAGGUCCGGACAGCAGGGUGGAUGAUAACAUUUUGGGCAAGUUGGAGAGCCUUUGCCCAGAUUGGCCCGGCAAGGAGCGGUUUUAGAUUAGAGACACUGGCUGGAUUGAGGAGUAGAAGGCUCAAACAACCCAAGCGGCUACAGGAAGCUGUGUCUGUUCGAUUUGGUGGGAGGAGAUGUGCAGGGAGCUGUAUCUUGUCCUCCGCUUGUGAAAAACUCAAGGAUGUGGAGAAGAGUAGACCGUGGAACCCUGCUCUUCUGCAGCCAAGCUGAGGGGCAGGAUGCGUGUGGGACAGUGGUAGAGAAGCAGGGGAUAGACUCAUAGG